AAAGGAGCAGCUGAAGUGCCUGAGCAAAGAUUCGCUCCCAAUCUGGUCCACACCAACGUCUGCACUUUGCAAGGACAAAGGAAGUCCCCUAUGUACCUCAGAGGAACUUUCAUGUUGCAUCUAUCAUGACAUUCCUCAUCUCAGUGCCUAUCAGUCUCACCUCGGUGCCAGGGGAGGUCACGGAACGGAUAAUCUCGGGAACCAUCAUGGACCAACUAAAGGUCAACCAGGGGAUCAGGCCCAGUCAGCAUGGGUUUAUGAACGUCUGUUCCUUUGUUCAGGUUCUGUGAAGGAGGAGGCGUUCCCACAGAGGGACGUCUUCCCCCACAUCUUGAGCCAUGCCUGGAGAAGGACAGCUGCCUCUCACUUUGGACACAGCUCCACCCAGGUGAUAAUGGCAGGCAAAGACAGCUAUUUCCUUUCUAUUUCUGGUAGAAACCCCAUCCUGCUUGUGCUUACAAUUUACUUGCCUUUACUUCCCUUUGUCUCUGCUUUCACACUUCUUGAAGACUUAGAGGCACAAUUUGUCCUAUAAAUGGAGUCUCUGUGGAUCUACAUUCCCUGAUGUUCACCUGUACUCUAUAUUUAUAUUGAAACUUUUAUGGCACCUAAAAGAGCCAAGCACUUUUGGAAAGCAUUCUUUACCACAUGCCUUUGCACAGUUCAAAUGCCAAGGGAAGAUGCCUGGUGUGUGGAAGGAGUUAACUGCUUGUCAGACAGAUACAGACCUUCUAGCACAGCCAGAAACAGUUCUUGACAAUAUUAAACUUUGAUUUUCCUCUUUUUAAAAAACAAACAACCAAACAAACAAAAAACUCCAUUCCCUUUCCUUUCAAGGCCACUUGGCUAUGGUUCUUGAUCUUCUCUUUCUGACCAGCCACCGUUGAAUUCAUAAGGGUUCAUAGAGGCCACAUUGGAGAAGAAAUCCUAUUGAAAGCCACUUUCAUCUGCAUUUGCCUUUAAGUGGUAUGUAGAAAAUUAGUUAGUCAUGUGUGAGGAGAAAAGCUAACAUCUCUUGUAACUAAGCAGUUGAAUGCUCUAUAUACCUGGGCAAACAGAGUGUAGAAGCUGCAAAUAACCACCUAUGCCUGUGUAAUAACUUCAAGUUUUCAACUUUCAUGGCCACUCAUCAGUGUUUGUGGAACAUUCCUAGAGCAUAUGGUAACCUUUAGCCCAGCACAAACCUUCAGAAACAAGUGCAGAAACUCUGUUAAUUCCGUAUGGGGCAUAUGGUUAAUAUUACAACCUGAUGGAGCUCUUUUCUUGUUUGUUUGUUUGUUUUUGCUGUAAGUACAUCUGAAUUCAUCAGCUCUCACUCAGUAUCAGCCUUAGUGUUGCUUGAAGAAUGAUGUUGAUACUGAAAUCCAACGUCUCAUCCACAAGACUGCCACAGAUAGGGUUCUCAUUAUGCUGGAUGCAGUGUGAACAUUUCAAAAGAACCAGUUCCUGCCCCACGACGUGCUUGCCAUCCAAAAAAACACCACAGAACAAGGGGAGGGAGCAGAGGCCGGGAGCGGUCCUGCGGAGACUUGUGUGAGCUGACGCAUCCUCAAUAGGACCAGAAGUCCUUGGCUGCGUUGCCUCCCUCACUUGCUGUGUUCCCAGGGUUGGUUGUUAUUUUAAAAGUUUGUGAACCAUCUGCAUGUAUAAAAGAACAAAUC
ensembl:lncRNA